GACAGAGGGUGCAAACGUUGUUCGGAAUUACUGGGCGUAAAGCGCGUGUAGGCUGCUUCGCAAGUCGGAUGUGAAAGCCCUGGGCUCAACCCAGGAAGUGCAUUCGAAACUGCAGAGCUGGAGUCCUGGAGAGGAAGGCGGAAUUCUCGGUGUAGAGGUGAAAUUCGCAGAUAUCGAGAGGAACACCGGUGGCGAAAGCGGCUACCUGGCCCAUUCUUGACGCUGAGGCGCGAAAGCUAGGGGAGCAAACGGG
rnacentral:rRNA from 1 species